GGUUCACAGGUUGUUAAAGUUUGGGAACCGCUGUGCUAGGCUUAUCCAGAUGCCUUUUCCAGUUCUGGGAGAACACUUCAUCCAUUGCUCUGGGAUCCAGAACACAUAGUUUGACUACAGAUUUUGCCACUCAGGUAUUUUUAUUUAUUUUAUUUUCCUUACUGCCAGGCCCACAGACUGUCCCUAGGCUCUGAUAGUCAAGCUGGGUGCUUUCCAUCUCAUGGAUCAUCUCCAGCAGUAAAGAUUUUACAGGGCAAAUAAUGCCCUCAUUGACACCUGUGUUACCCCCUUGACUUCAGCAUAUACCCUCAUUGACACCUGUGCAAACCCAUUGGUUUCAGGUUACACCUUAAGUGACUCAGUCAUUUUUACCCUAUUUGUAAAUAAGUGGUAUAUGUUCUCAGCCUAUCUCAGCCUAUACAGUUUAAAAUUUUUUUUUAUUUCAGCUAAAACAGUUCAGCCAUUUCCAAGAAUGAGGACUGCAGUGGUUGGAAUGAAGAGCUAUCUACCCAUCAGUAUGUGUGUGACUCCCACUAUAUUAGGGGAGGGAUGCAAGGCCCAAAAUUCAGACCCAAAAUUCAUCUCUCUUCUGCAGACUAUACCUUUGUUCUCUCUUGUGGUGUUUUCCCUUAGCCUAAAGAGGAGUCAGGUAGUCCUUGUUGUGUUCCAUGGGAAGCCAUCAAAAUCUGACAGGUAUUUGGAAGGAGGUGACUUCUAACAUACUAGUUAUGUUCUACAACCCUUUUUUGUUUUAAAUGAGAAUAAGACCUCAGACUUUGUGGGAUAGUUCCCCACCUUCAAGAUCUGUGGUAUAUAUUUCAAAAACUACUGUCGGAGUGCUUCCUGAGCCUUCCAUUAUAAUGUCCCAUCGCUCAGGAAUCAGCUGGUAGUACAGUGCUAUGGAGUUCAAACAGAUGAAAAUCACUGUAUAAAUAUAAAACACUGAUAGUUCUUUUCACUGCUUCUCAAAUAAGUGACAACCAGGAAUUUUGGAGUUUGAUUAAAAGAUAAAUUAACACAAACAUUUUACCAGUAUCAAAUUAUGAGAUUUCCUAUUCUUACAUAAAGUCUAGCGACGCAACACACCUUAUGU